CAAUAGCGUAUAUUAAAGUUGUUGCAGUUAAAAAGCUCGUAGUUGGAUUUCUGGUAGGAGUGACCGUUCCGAACUUGAUUGUUCGUGUAUUGUGUUUUCUCCAGCCAUCCUUGUGGAGAACUUUUCUUGCAUUAAUUUGUAGGGAUUGGGGCCCGCAUCGUUUACUGUGAAAAAAUUAGAGUGUUUAAAGCAGGCAAUCGCUUGAAUACAUUAGCAUGGAAUAAUAAGAUAGGACUUUGGUACUAUUUUGUUGGUUUGCAUACCAAAUUAAUGAUCAACAGGAACAGUUUGAGGAUAUUCGUAUGAACAUGUCAGAGGUGAAAUUCUUGGAUUUUGAUCAGACGAACUACUGCGAAAGCAUUUAUCAAGGAUGUUUUCAUUAA
rnacentral:rRNA from 1 species